rnacentral:antisense_RNA from 1 species
GUGGGAGCUGGCUUGCCUGCGAUUGCGGUGGGCCAGUUGACGCAUUUUUAGCUGUCGGACCGCAAUCGCAGGCAAGCCAGCUCCCAC